CAUGUUUUUUGUACCUUUAUUUAACUAGGCAAGUCAGUUCAGAACAAAUUAUUAUUUUCAAUGAUGGGUUAGGAACAGUGGGUUGGUUAACUGUCUUGUUCAGGUGCAGAACGACAGAUUUGUACCUUUUCAGCUCGUGGAAUUCCGUCUUGCAACCUUUCGGUUACUAGUCCAAAGCUCUAACCACUAGGUUACCUGCCGCCCCUUAUAUUGUUAAACACUGUAGCAUGUUUACAUUAUUAGGUACUUUAGCAAGUUUACAUUAUUAGGUACUGUAGCAUGUUUACAUUAUUAGGUACUAUAGCAUGUUUACAUUAGAUACAGUAGCAUGUUUACAUUGUUAGAUAAUGUAGCAUGUUUACAUUAUUAGAUACAGUAGCAUGUUUACAUUAUUAGAUACAGUAGCAUGUUUACAUUAUUAGAUACUGUAACAUGUUUACAGUAUUAGAUACUGUAACAUGUUUACAUUAUUAGAUACUGUAGCAUGUUUACAUUAUUAGAUACUGUAGCAUGUUUACAUUAUUAGAUACUGUAGCAUGUUUACAUUAUUAGAUACUGUAACAUGUUUACAUUAUUAGAUACUGUAGCAUGUUUACAUUAUUAGAUACUGUAACAUGUUUACAUUAUUAGAUACAGUAGCGUGUUUACAUUAUUAGAUACUGUAGCAUGUUUACAUUAGGGACUGCAACAUUUACAUUAUUAGGUACUAUAGCAUGUUUACAUUAGAUACAGUAGCAUGUUUACAUUGUUAGAUAAUGUAGCAUGUUUACAUUAUUAGAUACAGUAGCAUGUUUACAUUAUUA
ensembl:lncRNA